rnacentral:rRNA from 1 species
UACAGAGGGUGCGAGCGUUGUCCGGAAUCACUGGGCGUAAAGGGCGUGUAGGCGGCUGGGUAAGCCGCGUGUGAAAUCCCAGAGCUCAACUCUGGAACUGCCGUUGAUACCGCUCGGCUCGAGGCCGGAAGAGGUAGAUGGAAUUGCCGGUGUAGGGGUAAAAUCCGUUAAUAUCGGCAAGAACACCAAAUGCGAAGGCUUUCUACUAGGACGGCCCUGACGCUGAGAGACGAAAGCGUGGGUAGCGAAUGGG